GAUGAAGAACGUAGCGAAAUGCGAUAAGUAAUGUGAAUUGCAGAAUUCAGUGAAUCAUCGAAUCUUUGAACGCACAUUGCGCCCUUUGGCAUUCCGAAGGGCACACCUGUCCGAGCGCCGUCGCACAACUGAGGCGCAGCCUUGCGUUGGCGGGCGACUUGUGAGUAGCGGGUCGCCGCCCAAACGAGACGGCGCCGCGCCGCGGCCGACGAAGCACGAAAGCGGAAGUCGACGCGGAGGCGGUUGCCUGUAGGAAGACACAGCUUGGCCUCGGAUCAGGUGGGGAUACCCGCUGAACUUAAGCAUAUCAAUAAGCGGAGGA
rnacentral:misc_RNA from 1 species